AGUUCAGACUUGUGCCCUUCCUCACAGGAGAGUUUGUUGGAGAGACCCACAGGGUCCUAGAACAUACACAGGCCCACCCACCUGGAAAUCAGCACCCAAAGGACCCAGGUUGCUUGGGGAAAGCAGAUGAAGUGACUGAAUCUGGAAGAGAGUGGAGCAAGCACCAUUGUUCCCUCUCAGACCCCUCCCUGACAUAUAGUGU